UACAGAGGGUGCAAGCGUUAAUCGGAAUUACUGGGCGUAAAGCGUGCGUAGUCGGUUAUUUAAGUCCGUUGUGAAAGCCCUGGGCUCAACCUGGGAAUGGCAGUGGAUACUGGAAAGCUAGAGUGCGGUAGAGGGUAGUGGAAUUCCCGGUGUAGCAGUGAAAUGCGUAGAGAUCGGGAGGAACACCAGUGGCGAAGGCGGCUACCUGGACCAGCACUGACACUGAGGCACGAAAGCGUGGGGAGCAAACAGG
rnacentral:rRNA from 1 species